CCAUCUCAGACUUCCUUUUCAUCUCUUCUCUUGUGUCUGGCUCUCCAUUCACCUGGUCAUGCUAACAGCCCUUCUUGGCACUGGCUCUAGCGUGAACCUUGGUGACCAGAACUGCACGCCAUAUACUGGUACAAUGGUACUAAUACUUCCUUCUCCCUACAGGAAUUAUCGCAUCUGACAAAUCCUAGUCUUGCAUCUGCCAUUUUUAUGGCCUUGUAAAUACAAACAGGGACAGCCUCAAGCAGAUGAAUGAAACCAGUAACUGGAGAUCUCCAAGAUGUUUUGUCCACAGUCAGACUGGGGGGAUGUGGCCAGUCACUGGUAAGAAGCUGCUUCUUCUCCUUCAUUUGCUCGUCCCCUCCGAAGCAGUGGGCCACACAUACGGGGAGCUGGGUCUCGGAGUACUGUAGGUGAAUGGUGACUGGAGGAUCUCUCUGCCAAAAACAGUAUCCAAGCUAGAGGACUCCAUGAGAGCUUUGUACAGAUGUGGGCCAAGCGCCAGGACUGAAGUAUCAGGCUCUCCUGUACAGACUCUGCCCACCACAGCUGUGCCAGAUUGAGCACUCCCUGCAGCUCUGCUUGCCAGGAGCUAUCACCAGUAACAGAUAUAUUCAGAGUGAACACAAAAAGACUUUCCAAAACACAGUAUUUUGGGGUUUUCACUGCAGACAGUUGGUGCAAGAACAAGGAUUCAUAGGCAGUAAAACACCCUGUCUAUACAAGCCUACGUCCUUCUCAUGUCAAGUCCCUUGAGGUUACUCUGGAGGGCUUGACUUCCUUCAAAGAGUCUCUUUCUGUACCAACCUCUUUCCCUGACCAGCCACUGGCAAAUGACCCAUUUCCCUUCCACUGUUUUCUCACAAGACAGGCUUCCUGUCUCUGUAACAUCCUUAUGAUCUUAGGUUCCCAGACCAGGCAGA